UUUAUUGUUGUUGGUGAAAAUUCAUAAAUGCUCUCUUUAUACUUAAAUUGUUCAACCCUACAUUUUUAGGGCAAAUCAUUUCAGCCUCCCCAAUCGCCUCAUCUCUCUUUCUCACAGAACUUGCCCCCCCCCUCUCUCUCUCUCUCUGCAACUGCAAACUGGAAAAUCUACAAGAAUCAGAAGUUCAAAACCCAUAUAUUUCAGUUUAUCUAUCUGUCUGCAAGAAUCACCAGUUGAAAACCCAUAUCGGCAUAUCAUUUCAGAUUGUUCAAAAAAUCAAAACCCAUAUCUUUCAGUUUCCAUCGCCCGCUGUUCCAGUUCGGGUUCGCCGUUCGCAAGCUUCAGCCGCUGUCUCGCAACUCUCAAGCUUGCCCCCUUCUCUCUGCAACUGCUAACUUGGUUAGCAUUGGGCCUUAACAUUUAGUAAGAACAAGGUUCAAGAAACAUGCCUCCUCAGUCAUCAGGCCUCUUUUCUGAAAGAAGAGAGUUGAUGGGAAUAGGUGGAGUAGGGGAAAAAAAAAAAGUUGUUCGUGAAGUCCAGCUCGUGGAUCGUAUUGAAAAGUUUUCUGCAUGUAGUUGUUUGUGAAGUCCAGCUCGUGGAUCGUAUUGAAAAGUUUUCUGUUCGAUCUCACUAUAUGUUCCAUCAUGUUCCCAUUGCCCGCAUUGUUAACUAUCUGAGACAUGAUGAAGAUGGUGGAGUAAUAGAUUGUGAAUCUAUUCUCCAAUUCAUUGCUUUGGAGAUGUUGAGCACUGAUUUAUUGACCACAGUUUGCUUACUGUCUUUGCUUCUUGCCUUUGUGAUGUAAUCUGCUCUAUUGGUGCAACAAGCGGAGUUUCGUGCCAUCUGCAGACAACUGAACACGUAUGCUGGUAUCAUGGCUUACCGGAUCGUCGUGCUGAUAUGCUUGAUGCGCUUUCAUGGAUUGCAUUUGUUCCCUUCAGCAUCUCCAUUGUGCUUCAGACUGUGCUUUGGGUCACUGGACUACACACUCCCCAUUGACAAGGUGAUGGAUUUUAUUUUCUAGGCUGAUGUACUUUGGUCUUUGGAGGGGAUGGUAUAUACUUUGGUCUUUGGAGUGGAUUCUUCAGUUUGUGCAUUUCUGUUUGUUGUUGGAGUGGAUUGCAUUUGUUCCCUUCAGCAUCUCCAUUGUGACUGUGCUUUGGGUCACCGGACUACACACUCCCCAUUGACACAUGCGAGGUGAUGGAUUUUAUUUUCUAGGCUGAUGUACUUUGGUCUUUGGAGUGGAUUCUUCAGUUUGUGCAUUUCUGUUUCAUUGAAAAUAGAAUAGAACAUUACUUCUAUCUUGUUGGUGAUGAAAUUGCUGUAGACUUCUACAGACAAUGAGAAUAAAGAGGAAAAUUUAAAGAAUGCA